rnacentral:rRNA from 1 species
AUUGAACGCUGGCGGCAGGCCUAACACAUGCAAGUCGAACGAGUGGCGGACGGGUGAGUAAUGUCUGGGAACCUGCCUGAUGGAGGGGGAUAACUACUGGAAACGGUGGCUAAUACCGCAUACCAUCAGUUGAGCCCAGAUGGGAUUAGCUAGUUGGUGGGGUAAGGGCCCACCAAGGCGACGAUCCAUAGCUGGUCUGCGAGGAAGACCCGCCACACUAGAACUGAGACACGGCCCAGACUCCUACGGGAGGCAGCAGGGGGGAAUAUUGCACAAUGGGCGCAAGCCUGAUGCAGCCAUGCCGCGUGUAUGAAGAAGGCCUUCGGGUGGUAAAGUACUUUCAGCGGGGAGGCGUUACCCGCAGAAGAAGCACCGGCUAACUCCGUGCCAGCCGCCGCGGUAAUUC